rnacentral:rRNA from 1 species
GUGGGGAAUUUUGGACAAUGGGCGCAAGCCUGAUCCAGCAAUGCCGCGUGCAGGAAGAAGGCCUUCGGGUUGUAAACUGCUUUUGUACGGAACGAAACGGCUCUGGUUAAUACCCGGGGCUAAUGACGGUACCGUAAGAAUAAGCACCGGCUAACUACGUGCCAGCAGCCGCGGUAAUACGUAGGGUGCAAGCGUUAAUCGGAAUUACUGGGCGUAAAGCGUGCGCAGGCGGUUUUUUAAGACAGUCGUGAAAUCCCCGGGCUCGACCUGGGAAUUGAGCUUGGGACUGCAAGGAUGGAGUGCGGCAGAGGGGGAUGGAAUUCCGCGUGUAGCAGUGAAAUGCGUAGAUAUGCGGAGGAACACCGAUGGCGAAGGCAAUCCCCUGGGCCUGCACUGACGCUCAUGCACGAAAGCGUGGGGAGCAAACAGGAUUAGAAACCCGAGUAGUCC